rnacentral:rRNA from 1 species
GACGGAGGAUGCAAGCGUUAUCCGGGAUGAUUGGGCGUAAAGCGUCUGCAGGUGGCAGUUCAAGUCUGCUGUCAAAGACCGGGGCUUAACUUCGGAAAGGCAGUGGAAACUGAACAGCUAGAGUAUGGUAGGGGCAGAGGGAAUUCCUGGUGUAGCGGUGAAAUGCGUAGAGAUCAGGAAGAACAUCGGUGGCGAAGGCGCUCUGCUGGACCAUAACUGACACUCAGGGACGAAAGCUAGGGGAGCGAACGGG